AAUGAACGCUGGCGGCGUGCUUAACACAUGCAAGUCGUACGAGAACGCUUCAGCUUGCUGAAGCAAGUAAAGUGGCGCACGGGUGAGUAACGCGUGGGUAAUCUACCUUCGAAUCGGGGAUAACUCGCCGAAAGGCGUGCUAAUACCGGAUGAUAUCUUUGUUACUUUGGUAACGAAGAUCAAGGGUGGCCUCUUCAUGAAAGCUACUGUUUGAAGAUGAGCCCGCGUACCAUUAGCUAGUUGGUAGGGUAAUGGCCUACCAAGGCGACGAUGGUUAGCUGGUCUGAGAGGAUGAUCAGCCACACUGGAACUGACACACGGUCCAGACUCCUACAGGAGGCAGCAGUGAGGAAUUUUGCGCAAUGGGGGCAACCCUGACGCAGCAACGCCGCGUGAGUGAAGAAGGCUUUCGGGUCGUAAAACUCUGUCAAGUGGGAAGAACCUGCAAUAUACCAAUACUAUAUUGCACUGACGGUACCACUGAAGAAGCACCGCUAACU
rnacentral:rRNA from 1 species